GUCUACGGCCAUACCACCCUGAACAUGCCCAAUCUCAUCUGAUCUCGGAAUGUAAAUUGGUCCAGCCUCUGUGGAGAGCAGUCUGGAAAACUCUCACAAGGCUAGACAUGGACC
rnacentral:rRNA from 1 species